ensembl:lncRNA
GAUACGGAAGUGGCUGGUGUGGUGUGGAUGUUGUGAUUUACGGGCUGCAACGGAGAAUCCAAGGAAAGGGGAGAUUGGAAGUGCGGAGGAAGUUAAGUGAUCAACCUUUUGUAUGUUGUGUUUACACCUUAUUGUGGAUUGAGUUGAAGGAGCGAUCCUAUGUUUGGAAGGCCCCUGAGUGAAGGAGAUCAUUGAAUUCGUAUUGGGAGAGGACAACACUGUGUACUGGUGGGUGAAGACUUUAUGAACAUUCCUUGUAUAUUGUGGAGAGUGGAUGACGGAUGUGGAGGGAGACUAACUGCCUUUAAGAAAGGGUUCCGACUGCAUAUUUCUCCGUAGCAGUGGGUAAUUCCCCCCCCCUCUCUUGUGUUGAUCUAAUAAUCCUCAGUGCUUGUGUGUUUACUCAGUGUUGAUAGUAGUGCCUUGCGUUGGAGAUCGCUGGGAAAGACGGAGAGACUCCGGUGUACGAUAUAUACGCCUGCUGUGGUCUGCCCCCUGCCUUCGUCCAUCUGACACGCCCCGCCAGGACUCUGAGCCCGAAACGGGAAUACACCACGGAUCUUCUUUCACUGAGUGUGUGGAGUGCGGUGAGUGCUGCUAUAUUGAAGUGUACACACGAGAAGAAUUGUAGUGCCUUUGUGGUGUGUGGUGUUUGUCCGUGGCUGUGUCCCCGGUCGUAGGAAGAGGCCUGACAGAGAGGAGCAGUGUAUUGGUGGCAACCACAGUCUUUACCUUAAGUAAGCUGGAGCUUGGACGUGUUGGAGGCGCCUCUGGAGGAGCAACCACCGGCCUUGUGCAUGUCGUCUGUGCUGUCUCUUCGACGAGGGAAGCGAAGGACAACAGCCGAUCCUCCCCCGUGUGCCCCCUUGCCAAGCUGGGCGGGAAGCCCAGUAUUGUUUGCAGUCUCACCUGUAAGGCCCACCAGCCGUCAGUCAUCGACCAAACCCGUAUCUGCUUGGAAUACCGACCUCUGAAUAUCUUCAGUGAACCCCUGCACGCUAACAGCCCAGCCCUGUGAAUACCCACCUGUGUAUUGAACGCUGUACUUACCUGAGAGCUAGAACCCCUGCACGCUAACAGCCCAGCCCUGUGAAUACCCACCUGUGUAUUGAAAUCUGUACUUACCUGGGAGCUAGAACCCCUGCAUGCUAACAGCUCAGCCUUGGGUCUUGAAGUCCACCCCCCCAGAGCCAGAAAGUCCCUGCACGUCAACUGCCUAGCUCUUGCUUUAAACUUACCUGGAGUGGAGUCGGCUGGAAAUUAAGGGCUGAAGUGGAGUGUGUCGAGGAAGGGCUGAAGAGGAGUGUUAUCGAGGACUGGAAUCCGUAUCUGUGGACAAAAAUAGUUCGAGUCAUUAGUAGUUUUAAAGUUUCCCCUCCCCUUUCCCC